UGGGGAAUAUUGGACAAGGGGCGCAAGCCUGAUCCAGCCAUGCCGCGUGAGUGAUGAAGGCCCUAGGGUUGUAAAGCUCUUUCACCGGUGAAGAUAAUGACGGUAACCGGAGAAGAAGCCCCGGCUAACUUCGUGCCAGCAGCCGCGGUAAUACGAAGGGGGCUAGCGUUGUUCGGAUUUACUGGGCGUAAAGCGCACGUAGGCGGACUAUUAAGUCAGGGGUGAAAUCCCGGGGCUCAACCCCGGAACUGCCUUUGAUACUUGUAGUCUUGAGUUCGAGAGAGGGGAGUGGAAUUCCGAGUGUAGAGGUGAAAUUCGUAGAUAUUCGGAGGAACACCAGUGGCGAAGGCGGCUCACUGGCUCGAUACUGACGCUGAGGUGCGAAAGCGUGGGGAGCAAACAGG
rnacentral:rRNA from 1 species